CCGAGAGAAUUUACGCCGCUGGCGGCAUCUGGGUUAUCCGCGCGUUAAAUAAUUUAUGAUCUAUCCGGGGAGUUUCAUAAUUGUAGGGUUGAUAAUUCCGAGCAUACUGCGUACAUGCGGGAUUACAUGUACUACUAGCAUAUGCGCUGCAACUGAGCUCCAAUAGCCAUGUCCUCAACUACUCCAGUCCCAUCGACUUCUACGAGAGAACAACGGCGGAAUGCACUUGCACAACCGUCUAUAAACAGCUCGGAUUCUUGAAAUAUCCUGCCCCUUUCUCAAACUCCGCCUUAGCCUUCGCCAACGCUGCAUCUUCUCCCCCGUUGGCUUCCCCUUCCUCAUCCCUCAUCAGCACCUGCACCAACCGGUCACACCCCUCCCGCGUCCCCUCAUCGUCUACAUGCAAAUGACAUUCCCGUAUGAUCGGAUACACAUUAACCGCCCUCAUCAGCUCCCUGCCCUCCCUCGUCGUCGUCAGCAGCAGCAACGUCUCCAAAUGUGUCGCGAUGAUAUCCUUAUCUGAAUCCCGCUCUUUGUCCGGCGGUAGAAACUGCAGAUCCGGCAGCAUGGCCGCGCUCUCUUCAUCCGUGAAUUCUUCGGGUCCCGCGACUGGCAACAGAAGGUACGGGAGGAUGUUCACCCCGGACUCCGCGAGCAGCUGCGGGUGCGCCUGCACCUCGAACGCGAUAUUCUUCAGCGUCGACGCCACGCCCUUUCGACGGAUGUGGCUGCGGUGCUCAGUGAAGACGGUGAGUUUGGUGAUGGGGAUGACGGAGUCGUAUUCCUGUCGAGUGAGGAAGUAGGCUCUACCUUCGUCGUAUUUGGAGAGGUCGGCGAAGACAUAGGCUAGAUAGUCGUAGUUGGAGUCGGCGGCCUUGUUGAUGCCGCCAUCCUGCCCCUUUAUGAAGCAGUCCAUUAAUUGGUCGAGGGCCUUUGGGGAGCCAGAGACAUCCUUGGGCACGCUGCGGGUUAGGUUUAUGAUACGCUUGAAGCUAUCGGAUUUAGCGAGGUUGGUGAGGAGCAUGGUGAUUUCGUUGACGUGGGGUUCUUUCUUGUUCUGUUGUGCUCUGUGAUUAGAUAUGUAUUUUCGCAUUUGAACUAACGUCCCGGUUGGGAGUGGCGGAGAAUUUGAAAUAAUUACCGUGACUUUACUCAAGAGGGUUUCUAGAAAAGCAUCAUCUUCAGCUAGCUCUUUGAGAACCUCCUCAUCGCCGGAGAGGUUUAUCAAUAUCGUCAAUGCAUUUUUGGCGAUUGGAGUGUAGUCCCGAACAAGUAGUUUAAGAUCCCUCACUGGUAGAAGCUGAUGAACCUUGAACAGUGAAGGCUGAGAUAUCGAGAAUCCAAGAAGAUUUUCACAUG
rnacentral:sRNA from 1 species